rnacentral:RNase_P_RNA from 1 species
GAAGUAAGAUAAGUAAUCGCGGCUGCAAUUGCCGAAAGGCAGCAGACGAGGAAAGUCCGGGCUUCAUAGGGCAGGAUGCCGGAUAACGUCCGGUGGAGGUGACUCCAAGGAAAGUGCAACAGAAAUAAACCGCUGAGGGCGCAAGCUCUCAGUAAGGGUGGAAAGGUGGUGUAAGAGACCACCGCUUUGCUGGUAACAGCAAGGGUCCCUGUAAACCCCAUCCGAAGCAAGACCGAAUGGAAACGUAUGUGGCCCGCUAGUUUCAGGUUGGUCGCUUGAGGCGAUUGGCGACAGUCGUCCUAGAUAGAUGAUUACUCUCGACAUAACCCGGCUCAUCGUCUUGCUUCUUUU